AUGCGGUAUGACGGUACCCUUUCGAAUAAGAGGUUGCUAACUCUGUGCCAGCAGCAGCGGUAAUACAGAGACCUCGAGCGUUAUCCGGAUUUACUGGGCGUAAAGCGUCUGUAGGGGGUUUGUUAAGUUCCAAGUAAAAUCUUAAGGCUCAACUUUAAGUUCGCUUGGAAAACUAAUAAACUGGAGUCCAGCAGAGGUGCAUGGAACUUGCGGUGUAGGAGUGAAAUCCGUUGAUAUCGCAAGGAACACCAAAGGCGAAGGCAUUGCACUGGGCUGGUACUGACCCUGAGAGACGAAAGCGUGGGGAGCAAAACGGAUUAGAUACCCGUGUAGUCCACGCCGUAAACGAUGGAUACUAGAUGUUCGGGGAUUCGACCCCCUGGGUGUCACAGCUAACGCGUUAAGUAUCCCGCCUGGGAAGUACGGCCGCAAGGCUAAAACUCAAAGGAAUAGACGGGGAUCCGCACAAGCGGUGGAGCGUCUGGUUUAAUUUGAUAGUAAGCAAUGGACCUCACCAAGGUUUGACAUCCUAUGACAACCCUGGAAACAGGGCUUCCUUCGGGCAUAGUGACAGGUGCUGCAUGGUCGUCGUCAGUUCGUGCCGUGAGGUGUUCCGUUAAGUCGGGAAACGAACGAAACCCUCGUCGCAUGUUACAAAUUUCAUGCGAGACUGCCCGGGUCAACCGGGAGGAAGGCGGGGAUGACGUCAGAUCAGCAUGGCCCUUAUACCUUGGGCUACACAGGCGCUACAAUGGCCGGUACAAAGGGUUGCAAAACCGCGAGGUGAAGCUAAUCCCAUAAAGCCGGUCCAAGUUCGGAUUGGAGGCUGCAACUCGCCUCCAUGAAGUUGGAAUCGCUAGUACUCGUCCAUCAGCCAUACCACGGUGAAUACGUUCCCGGAUCUUGUACUCACCGCCCGUCACACCAAGAGAGUUGG
rnacentral:rRNA from 1 species